UACUCGAUUACACUCGUGUAUUCUAGACCCGAGUAGCCUGAUCGUUUUCCGCUCAAUACUCCUCAUUUUCUUCGUGAUCUAUAACAGUUUCUCAGUUUGUAUAUUGUCCGUGCUUUAAUGUUUGUGUGUAUAUCAAUUGGGUUUACGAGGCACACCAUUCUUCCAAUGGAUGGUUUCCUUAAAAAACUUGGCAAGACGAAGUUGUACCUGAUCAAAGACAUUCGAUAUUUAAAGCCAGGGAUAAUCUUGUGUUUCUGAAACGCUGCUUCUUGAAUUUUCCUUUACAAUCAUAUCAUCCAUUGUUUUCUGUGUAAGAGAUUAAAAUGAUUAACCAGCUAUAUUUUCAGUGCCACAGUGGGGGGUAUACUAAACAGAGCCAUUGAAGCAGAGGGCUGAAAGCAUGGAGAUUUUAUAAGGCUGCAACACUAGGAGAAACAUUAGUAAGACAUCGGAUGAAGCCCAGAAUAUAUAUUGGAUGCAUGAAGUCUGAUCCAGUCCUUGCCCAAAAGACAUUGGACAAAACUAUAUCAAAUUAUGGAGUGGAGCUCGCUGCAGCUAGAGCAGCGCAGGAUUCUAUUUUAAGUGGUUCUCUGGAACCAACAGUUUAUAUGUAUACAGUAUUAUACCAAAUUGCCAAAUAUAGCAGCAGUUUAGGUGGACACCUGUUUAUAGCAUGUGCUGGAUGGCCAUCAAAGUAGUGUUUAGAGCCAGAAACAAGAUAUAGUCAUUGUUGGACAUGGAAUUGCAGGCCUGGCUACUACUACACAGGCUACAAAAUUCAAGAUUCUGUAUAUUCCCUUCUGCCAAGCUAGCUGGGUGAAGAAACUGGUGUGUGGAAUGUUGUUUUUGACUAAAUUUCAUAAUCAACUCGGAUGCAAGUGCGGCCCCAGUUCUUAUACAUGUUAUGUAUAAGACCUCUACUUACAAUGUAAAGAUGCUGUCCAUUUAAACCGGACAUUUGGUACUUCUACGAUGACAGUCUCACUCGAUAGUUCAGCACAUAGUAGGCUUCAGCAAUAAAGUCCAAGAUAAUAGGAAUGCAAAUCUAGCUUAAGAUGACAUUCACACAAUUAUACACUUAACAGAGUAAUCAAGUUUGCUGAAAUUGAUUAUGCGCGUCUAAAAAAAAGAUACUAGCCUCCACAUUGCUGAUGAUCUGGUAAUGGGUAUAUAACUACACAAACAAUAAUAUCCUAUUAUAAUUAUUUACUUGCUUAAAAAUUGAAUAUGGAGAUGUGGAAUUGGGGUUUGAUUUAAUUAGGGGAAGAGCGAAACUUAGCCUAAAAGAUAAUUGGAGGAGAGCGACAAGUAGUCUUAGUGUUAAAGAGAUGAUAAUCUUCUGCGCAGAGAGAGUUUCUCUCAAGAAUAUGGAUGUUCAGUUGGAGAAGCACUUGAAUAGGAAUCCGUCAAUUAACUUGAAACCAUAUUUGCCUCGGCCUAAAGAAGAUUGGGAGCUUGAUCUAUGUAAGCUGGAGAUAAAAUACUGUAAAGCUCUAGGCACUUUUGGUCCUGUAUAUAGGGGCACAUAUGAGGAAACUGAUGCUACCUUUCAAGAAUUUAUUUGUGAUUUUUUUUGGUUAUCUAACUUGUGUUUUUUUUAACCAUUCUCGCAUUCUCUUUGUAGUUUGUAAUAUGUUUUAGCUACUCUCAUACAACUGGAUGCAUUAGUUCUCUUUUUAAGAAAAUUGUCUUUCAAAGUAGUUGAGAUAAAUUGAAGUUUGCUAUUGUUUUGUAUGAUUACUAUUUAUACCUUUUUAUUUAAUUAUCUGAAAGAUCUCACCAAACUUCGUCAUUCUUAUACCACAGUGAAGCUGCUGGAUUGGGGAGAGGACGGGAACUCGGGAAGGCCAUUAGUGCAGAAACUGCAGCUGUGAUGUAAUCAUAUUUAGAGAAGGAUCAAUUACAUUUAACAUAUGGUAAAUCUAAUUUUCAACUCCUCGGUUAUAGAUAAAUAUAAGAAGUGAUAAUAUAUAUAAACUACGAUAUCAGACUUCAGCCUUCAGGACAUUAAUUCAUUAUGUAUUACUACCAUUCCCAAAUUAAUUUUUCUUCUGAAAUAAAAACUGAAUUAAAUAACAAACUGUAGAGCAAGGAGUGGUAGGGAUAGCAAGUACGACUAGGAGUCAAAUUAGUACCAAAAAUCAGUAUAGGCUGGAGGUCAUUGAUAUCACAUACCCAAUAAGCCAUUAAUAUUUAAGAUUAACCAAGACACUUGUUUGGGACAAAAUAUAUCAUCUAAGACUAAUAGUGUAACCAUGAAGGAUCAAAAUGAUUAUCAAAUUGAAGGUAGAUUGAAACAACCAAUAUUUUCCAUUAAUACCCUACAAAAAAUCUAUGCCUGACAAAAACUCUACCAGGAACUGCAUUACAUGAAAUCUUAAAUUUUAAAGUUACACAACCAUGUAAUAUUAUGCAUAUAAGCAGACAAUAUCUGCAACCAUUCGACAACUCAAACUAGACCUUUUGUGGUAAAUAGAAAGGGGUUCUCCGUUUUCUUAACUUCUCACCCGUUCAUAUUAAAAUUAAUACAUGAUACACACUACACAGAGUAUAAACUACUGAUAACAAGAAAGGAAACAACUUGGUGAUGAGACUAAAUACCGCCUUGGUUACUGUAAGAUACUUAAUUUUUAAAGUGAAGUCAAUGACUUGGAUGGAUUUGAUUCGUCCGAUUACUUAUACUGCAAAGAUGUGCUCCCACUAACAAAUGUUUAUUUAUUUAUUGUUUUUGUCAAGUAAUAAUAUAGGGUUCCAUGUUUCUGACAAUAAAUUUCUGCAACAAUCUAUCCGCGGUUUUUUACCACCGACACACUACCUAUUUUUUAUGUGAAUGCAAGGUGUCAUGUCACUUAUCUGCUCUUUAGAUACCCAUUCCGGGGUUUCUAUGUGGGUGUUUGGAUGCAUGGCUUAUGGGCUUAAAAGUCCGAAAGUCCACCUCCACUUAUUAUCUGUGCGUUUGGCAAACGCGAGGAAGUGCUUAAUUAAACGAAAAGAAGCCCACAAAAUAAGUUAGGUUUCCUAGCUUUUUUUUAGUCUCAACUUCUGCUUAUUUCUAUUUCUAACAGAAAAUGACUUCAAAAUUGCCAAACUAAUACCAACUUAUAAGUUAAGUUAUCCAAACACUUAAAAAACCUAAAGUCGCAGUAUGCAAACACUUCUGGUAGCUUAUAAGUUCAAACCAACUUCUCACUUCUAAUCCACUUUUUUACUUUAAGCAAUAAGUCAUUUCUUUUAAGCUCAGCCAAACGGCCCCUAUCUUUCCACUAUAAAUAAGCUUAGUGUUAAUUAUCCAUUAAAAGUUUUCGAUGAAUAAUCUAUUUAUCGGCAUGACUCAGGGAAUCUAUCUAUUCUAUUUGUAGCAGGAGAGCUAGGGUCUAAAAUAAUGAGAUAUUUUGUUUUAAAAAAUUGUGAGACAUCAUGUAAAAGAGCAUUUUUUAGCGCUUAUUAGUUUGUCCCCUUUAUACUUUGUCCAAUGUACAGCCAUUUAGUUUCACAUUCAGCGACGGUCUCGGUUAGGGGAGAGCAUGGGCCGGUUCGGCUCGGUUUCGGGAUAAAACCGGAACCGCAACCAUAUAUCCCCGGUUUUUAAAAUUGAAAACCGCAACCGCCGGUUCGGAUUCGGAUUCGGUUUCGGUUUUAAAAACCCGGUUCGGUUUUAAUCGGCUCGGUUUCGGUUACAAAACCGACAAUUACAAAAUUCAAAAAUAAAUUGAAGUGCGAAAUUUAGAAACAAUAAUUAAUAAAGAGUGGAUUUCAAACUUUCAACAAUAAUAAUCCUAAAAGGCUUAGAUGACAAAGUUUCAGAGCAUUACGAGCAGAGACAGUGAUUUCACUGAUUUGCAUCUUAACUUUAAUCAUCAAUAAAACAGAGAAAUGGACUCACCAACAAAACGAAACCCAUAUAAAGAAAAUUUGAUUCAGAAUAAAAAGCCAGCCAAGAAAAUUAUUAAAACAGACUGCAGACUUGUAUAAUUACUACCUCUCCUGGCAGGUUACUAAUAUGAAGUAUCAAAAUGCAGUAGACUUCAGAACUUACAUGGACAGAGAUUUACUGAUUUUCAUUAA